GAUGAACGCUAGCGGCAGGCCUAACACAUGCAAGUCGAGGGGUAGAGGAAGCUUGCUUCCUUGAGACCGGCGCACGGGUGCGUAACGCGUAUGCAAUCUACCUUUUACAGAGGGAUAGCCCAGAGAAAUUUGGAUUAAUACCUCAUAGUAUAUAUCAUUCGCCUGUUUGAUAUAUUAAAGUUCCAACGGUAAAAGAUGAGCAUGCGUCCCAUUAGUUAGUUGGUAAGGUAACGGCUUACCAAGACGAUGAUGGGUAGGGGUCCUGAGAGGGAGAUCCCCCACACUGGUACUGAAACACGGACCAGACUCCUACGGGAGGCAGCAGUGAGGAAUAUUGGUCAAUGGACGCAAGUCUGAACCAGCCAUGCCGCGUGCAGGAAGACGGUCCUAUGGAUUGUAAACUGCUUUUGUACGGGAAGAAACACUCCUACGUGUAGGAGCCUGACGGUACCGUAAGAAUAAGGAUCGGCUAACUCCGUGCCAGCCGCCGCGGUAA
rnacentral:rRNA from 1 species